GAUGAACGCUGGCGGCGUGCCUAAUACAUGCAAGUAGAACGCUGAAGGAAGGAGCUUGCUCUUUCCGGAUGAGUUGCGAACGGGUGAGUAACGCGUAGGUAACCUGCCUGGUGGCGGGGGAUAACUAUUGGAAACGAUAGCUAAUACCGCAUAACAGUAGAUGUUGCAUGAUAUCUACUUAAAAGGUGCAAUUGCACCACUACCAGAUGGACCUGCGUUGUAUUAGCUAGUUGGUGAGGUAACGGCUCACCAAGGCGACGAUACAUAGCCGACCUGAGAGGGUGAUCGGCCACACUGGGACUGAGACACGGCCCAGACUCCUACGGGAGGCAGCAGUAGGGAAUCUUCGGCAAUGGACGGAAGUCUGACCGAGCAACGCCGCGUGAGUGAAGAAGGUUUUCGGAUCGUAAAGCUCUGUUGUAAGAGAAGAACGAGUGUGAGAGUGGAAAGUUCACACUGUGACGGUAUCUUACCAGAAAGGGACGGCUAACUACGUG
rnacentral:rRNA from 1 species